GGAAGAUAGAAAAAGAGAAAAAGAAAAAGGAAGAGACAACAAAAGAGAGGGACAGACAGUAACGCUCCAGGAGGGAGACACAAACUUAGAAGACAGAUCAGUGGCUUUGAGUAGGAUUCCAGGAAAACACUGAUCAGAUCCGUGGUCCCCAGAGCUUACUGCGGAGAGUGGAUGCCUGUUAUCACUUCUCUGAAGUGCUAAUUAGAAGAUUAGCCAUUGUUCAGAGCUCUUUAGCCACUCUUUAUCUUCCUCAGCUCCACUCUGAAGAGGACUGACUUCAGGGGAACUAAUUUUCUGUACCGCAGCCUAAAAGCCAAAAUACUACUAUGAGAGCUGGAUGAAACCAGAUUUGGCUCCUUGAGCUGACUCACGGGGGUCUUCUUUUUCUCUCUGGUUGAAAAGCAAGGUUUUUGCAUCUACUCUGAUCAUCAAUAGAACUGGAUUUCAUUCUCCCUUCUCAACCACAUCUGUCACAAAAAAAGAGAAAUAUAGAGAAAAGCAGAGGAAGAGAAAGGGAGUUUUGGCAUCCCUCUCUCCCAUGUGUUGGACUCUGAUUGUGCGCCCAGCACCACCCUUGGCAAGUUACUUGCAUUACUGAUUUAAUCCUCACCUUUGAAGUAGGCAUUUUUGUUAUUCUCACUUACAGAUGAGGGAACUGAAGGUGAGAAUAAAUAACUUGCCCAAGGUGAGAUAACUGGUGCCCAUUACAGCCCACAUUUGAGACCAGGAUGGUCCAACUCCAGAACCCAUUCCCUUCACCAUGAUGUUGCUGAACUACCACCCAAUAGGAGGCACAUGCUCACUGCUGAGUGGGAUCUUCUGACAAAUCCCUGCUGGCUUCAAGUGUCAUUUGUGAAAGCUAAGAAGUCAUCCCCACCCUCAUCAGAAAAACCACGCUGACAUCUGGGUGGUUCACAGGAGCUGUCACAAUAUUUCAUCAUUUGAUCAGCCCGACUAAGCUGUGAGGUAGGGAGCACAGAUGAGUCACACAGCUGGACAUGGGA
rnacentral:lncRNA from 1 species